rnacentral:rRNA from 1 species
UUCGCAAUGCCCGAAAGGGUGACGAAGCGACGCCGCGUGGGUGAGGAAGGCCUUCGGGUUGUAAAGCCCUGUCAGGAGUUAAGAAAUGUAAGUGCGCUAAUAUCGCAUUUAUUUGACGAAGGCUCCAAAGGAAGCCACGGCUAACUCUGUGCCAGCAGCCGCGGUAAUACAGAGGUGGCAAGCGUUGUUCGGAAUUAUUGGGCGUAAAGAGCACGUAGGUGGGUUUGUAAGUCAGAUGUGAAAGCCUUCUGUUCAACGGAAGAAUUGCAUCUGAAACUGCGAGUCUUGAGUGUAGGAGGGGAGAAUGGGACUUCUGGUGGAGCGGUGAAAUGCGUAGAUAUCAGAAGGAACGCCGGCGGCGAAAGCGAUUCUCUGGCCUAUUACUGACACUCAGUGUGCGAAAGCUAGGGGAGCAAACGGGAUUAGAUACCCCGGUAGUCCUAACCGUAAACGAUGGGCACUAAGUAGAGGGGUUUU